rnacentral:miRNA from 1 species
AAAGGCUAGGCUCACAACCAAA